rnacentral:rRNA from 1 species
AGGAAGCAGCUUGCUGUUUCGCUGACGAGUGGCGGACGGGUGAGUAAUGUCUGGGAAACUGCCUGAUGGAGGGGGAUAACUACUGGAAACGGUAGCUAAUACCGCAUAACGUCGCAAGACCAAAGAGGGGGACCUUCGGGCCUCUUGCCAUCGGAUGUGCCCAGAUGGGAUUAGCUAGUAGGUGGGGUAACGGCUCACCUAGGCGACGAUCCCUAGCUGGUCUGAGAGGAUGACCAGCCACACUGGAACUGAGACACGGUCCAGACUCCUACGGGAGGCAGCAGUGGGGAAUAUUGCACAAUGGGCGCAAGCCUGAUGCAGCCAUGCCGCGUGUAUGAAGAAGGCCUUCGGGUUGUAAAGUACUUU